GCCGGGGUAGCUCAGCUGGGAGAGCAACAGACUGAAGUUGGUACUUGGCUUCUGGAGGUCCCGUGUUCAAUCCACGGUCCUGGCA